GCCAGCAUGGCGUAGUGGUCUGAGAUUUGGACUGGGAUUCUAGAGUCCGGGGUUCGAUUCCCAGUUUGGCC